ACCAAAAGCCGCCUGGCUAUGGCGCAUGCUCAGUCGGAGGGGCUCGGAGUUUCCGCGGGUGGAUUCCACGUCUCCAGAUUUUAGCAGAAACUCAAAAGGAAAGUAGAUAGGAAAAGGGAGUCCGACUAUCCGAGCAACCUGCACCUGGACUGGCGCGAGGGAGUGCGGGUUGGGCUCGCCACGCCCCGCGGUUACCGAACCUGGUGGCUGAAGGCCGAGGGCAGAGAUGGAACACGUGCAGCCGCUUUUCCCGCUGCUCUCUGUCCUAGCCGGCCCCCGGCCCACCCUUUGUCAGGCUGUAAGGUGAAGGAGAAAACUGCAGAAAUCUCCGAAGGAAGACUUCCCAGCAAGCUGUGAGCUCGUCUACCUGGCUUACUGAAGGAACGGUUAUGGUGGUCAUUUUGUCAUGGGCCAUUUCAUCCGAGGGUCUUCUGCAGGAGUAUUGGGAGCCGGUUCCUCCAGCACCCAGUGCCCCGGACAGUCUCAGUCCAGAACGGCGUUGGAAAAAUGUGUGUUAAAAGGAGAUGGGAUCCGAGGCUUCUUGCCCUGUGUACCCUGAGGCAAGCGCAUUCUGUUCUCACUCUAUUUCCCAGGCUGGAUCCCGUGCAGUGGCACAAUCUCGGCUCAAAGCAGCCUCAACCUCUUGGGCUCAAGUGAUCUUCCCACCUCAGCCUCCCAAAUAGCUGGGACCACAGGCAUGUGCCACCACACCUGGCUCAUCUGUUUAUGUCUUUAGGAACAUCAGUAUUCAUCUGAGGAGUCAGUGCCUCUCGGAAAGCUGCCAAAAUAACUUGUAGGGUCACUUAAAAACUAAUUAAGAAAUCUUUACCCAGGAACAUUAAGGGAGUUAAGAUAAAAUGUUCCCGAUGCUGUCAGAGAGAUUUGGUCUGGUGCUGACAGAACUACACGAUUUUACUGGCGAGUCACUCGAGCGUUGUGGAGAUGCCGUUUCUGAGGUAAACAAAAUUUUAGAAUUUAAAAAAUAAAGUUGUUACCAUUCA